rnacentral:tRNA from 1 species
GAGGAUAUAGCUUAAGUGGUAGAGCACAUGCUUAGCAUGCAUGAGGUCCUGGGUUCAAUCCUCAGUACCUACC